rnacentral:rRNA from 2 species
GGAGCUAACGCGUUAAGUCGACCGCCUGGGGAGUACGGCCGCAAGGUUAAAACUCAAAUGAAUUGACGGGGGCCCGCACAAGCGGUGGAGCAUGUGGUUUAAUUCGAUGCAACGCGAAGAACCUUACCUGGUCUUGACAUCCACGGAAGUUUUCAGAGAUGAGAAUGUGCCUUCGGGAACCGUGAGACAGGUGCUGCAUGGCUGUCGUCAGCUCGUGUUGUGAAAUGUUGGGUUAAGUCCCGCAACGAGCGCAACCCUUAUCCUUUGUUGCCAGCGAUUCGGUCGGGAACUCAAAGGAGACUGCCAGUGAUAAACUGGAGGAAGGUGGGGAUGACGUCAAGUCAUCAUGGCCCUUACGACCAGG